UUAGUAGGCGGCGGAAGAUAACCCAAAAGGGAUUCCUUCAGUAAUGGCGAAUGAACGGGGAAAAGCUCAGCAAAGAAAUCAGGGACUCCGGCCUUGAGUUGUGGACUUGAGAGGUAUUGCCAAUGGUGGCGCAGGUGCGGGCCUCUUGGAAAAGGGCACCACAGAGGGUGUGAGUCCUGUUUGUCAUCUGUAGCCCGCCAUGUACGGCAUGCCUCCUCAGAGUCACGUUCCUUGGAAUUGGAGCGCGAAGGUGGUGGUGGCUUUCAUCUCAAGCUAAGUAUGGGUUCGAGACCGAUAGCAAACAAGUACCAUGAGGGAAAAUUGAAAAGAGCUUUGGAAAGAGAGUUAAAAGUGCCCGAACUUGCUGAUAGGGAAGCGAAGGGAKCUGACGUUGCUUGGUGACAUUUUCCGCGCAAGAGUAGGAUGGGUUCUGAUUGCAAUGUGCGUAGUGCUUCUUGCCGUGCGUGUCGAUGCCAAGCAACGAGUGGGGAGAGCACCAGGGAUAAUGAUUGUUCUGUCCCCGGGUGGACGAAGGUGCCUGGUCGCAUCCAUUUGUGGGCUGAAACAAGUGGUGGCUGGUCGCAGCACUCCAUGCCUGCCAGGCAAUUGGGGUGUAGCCCUGAUACGCAGACGAG
rnacentral:rRNA from 1 species